rnacentral:lncRNA from 1 species
CCAGCCCCGAGAUCACAGCACUGAAUGUCCAUUUGUUCCUCUGAGGCAUCCUAUCAAAGAUUGCCAUCCCCUUCUCCAGGCACCCACAUUUGAGGUACAUGUCGAUCAAUGAAGUUUGAACUAUUACAUUGAGUCCACUAAUAUUUCUGAGUAAAGAACAAUGGAUGCUUCUACCAAGAUCAUACGUGCCCAAAUGUGCACACGAGGAGAGAGCGCUAACCAUGGAGCUCUCAUCAGCUCUCAGACCUUCUGCGGUCAUCAUCGCAAAGAGCUUCAGGCACUCAUUCCAUAAGCCCAUUCUGGUGUGAGCUGCAAGAAUAGCACUCCAAGAAGCA